rnacentral:lncRNA from 1 species
UCCUCCCGCUCGCCGUUAGGGAGGCUUUGCGCUUCAGCCGGUCCCUCUGCCGCCUCCGCUCCCGCCCCCUCUUCUGCGUCUCCGCCGCCUCCGCCGCCUGGAGAAUCCAGGGGUCGCUUACCGGGCUGGCCCCGCGCCUCCUCCGUCGCUUCAGCCGCCCGCCAGCGGUCUCCCCAAGAAGAGGCUCGCCGGCCGCGGAGCCGCUUGGGGCCUCAGUUCUCUUCCUCUUGCCGUCGCCGCGGGUCCUGGAGAAGCGGCCGUGGCUGGGAAACGGGGCACCGCGGUUCCAACGAUUAACUGCUGAAGUACUGAUCGAGUUCUGUGUUUCUUCAAUGAGGAACUACAGGCUGAUCUUCUGCCAUAAUCUCAAACAGCCAUAAAUGACAAAAGAAUGCUUGCUCAGUGAGGGUAGCUGGUGCAGAAGCCAUUUUUUAAACUUAGGUGUUUAAGUACUCAAAGGUAAGUUUUCAAAGGGUAAUUAUUCCAUGCUUGAUAAAUUCUCAGAGAUUUUGGGACAUCUCUAC